UUGUGAAAGAGCGUAGAUCUACUAUGCUUAAUAGGGAGAUGGACCUUUCUCGGUUGAUGAUACAUGCCCAAUAGAUCAAAGCUAAUAAGGUGAAAGAGAGGGAGAGAGUAAGAGGAAAUAAAAGAGCUAGAUCAGAGCAACAGGGAUUCAGUCAGUCCAGAUUCCAUAGAGGGAAUCACCCUUAAUUUCAGGGAUAUUCAUUUAUUCCUGCACCUUCCUCAAUUAGUGCU
rnacentral:lncRNA from 1 species